UAACGGCUCACCAAGGCGACGAUCAGUAGCUGGUCUGAGAGGAUGAUCAGCCACAUUGGGACUGAGACACGGCCCAAACUCCUACGGGAGGCAGCAGUGGGGAAUCUUGCACAAUGGAGGAAACUCUGAUGCAGCGAUGCCGCGUGAGUGAAGAAGGCCUUUGGGUUGUAAAGCUCUUUCGUCGGGGAAGAAAAUGACUGUACCCGAAUAAGAAGGUCCGGCUAACUUCGUGCCAGCAGCCGCGGUAAUACGAAGGGACCUAGCGUAGUUCGGAAUUACUGGGCUUAAAGAGUUCGUAGGUGGUUGAAAAAGUUGGUGGUGAAAUCCCAGAGCUUAACUCUGGAACUGCCAUCAAAACUUUUCAGCUAGAGUAUGAUAGAGGAAAGCAGAAUUUCUAGUGUAGAGGUGAAAUUCGUAGAUAUUAGAAAGAAUACCAAUUGCGAAGGCAGCUUUCUGGAUCAUUACUGACACUGAGGAACGAAAGCAUGGGUAGCGAAGAGGAUUAGAUACCCUCGUAGUCCAUGCCGUAAACGAUGUGUGUUAGACGUUGGAAAUUUAUUUUCAGUGUCGCAGGGAAACCGAUAAACACACCGCCUGGGGAGUACGACCGCAAGGUUAAAACUCAAAUGAAUUGACGGGGACCCGCACAAGUAGUGGAGCAUGUGGUUUAAUUCGAAGAUACGCGCAGAACCUUACCAACACUUGACAUGUUCGUCGCGACUCUAAGAGAUUAGAGUUUUCGGUUCGGCCGGACGAAACACAGGUGCUGCAUGGCUGUCGUCAGCUCGUGUCGUGAGAUGUUGGGUUAAGUCCC
rnacentral:rRNA from 1 species